CUCCUACGGGAGGCAGCAGUGGGGAAUAUUGGGCAAUGGGGGAAACCCUGACCCAGCAACGCCGCGUGAAGGAAGAAGGCCUUCGGGUUGUAAACUUCUUUUACCAGGGACGAAGACAAUGA
rnacentral:rRNA from 1 species